UACGAAGGGGGCUAGCGUUGCUCGGAAUCACUGGGCGUAAAGCGCACGUAGGCGGAUCUUUAAGUCAGGGGUGAAAUCCCAAGGCUCAACCUUGGAACUGCCUUUGAUACUGGGAAGCUUGAGUUCGGGAGAGGUGAGUGGAACUGCGAGUGUAGAGGUGAAAUUCGUAGAUAUUCGCAAGAACACCAGUGGCGAAGGCGACUCACUGGCCCGUUACUGACGCUGAGGCGCGAAAGCGUGGGGGAGCAAACAGG
rnacentral:rRNA from 1 species